GGUGUAGCUCAGCUGGUUAGAGUAACGGAUUGUGGUUCCGAUGGUCGUGGGUUCGAAUCCCACCUC
rnacentral:tRNA from 1 species